rnacentral:lncRNA from 10 species
GCGGGGUCGGGGCCGGCUGACCAGGAACCUGGGCGAGCAGCGGCGGGGGCCCGAGGGAUUCUGAAGGAAGAUUUCCAUUAGGUAAUUUGUUUAAUCAGUGCAAGCGAAAUUAAGGGAAAAUGGAUGUAGAAAAUGAGCAGAUACUGAAUGUAAACCCUGCAGGUAAGUAAGGAUAUCCUUUUUUCUUUUUUUCUUCGUUUUGAGACAGGAUCUUGCUCUGUCACCCAGGCUGGAGUGCAGUGGUGUGAUCAUGGCUCACUGCAGUUUUGACUUUCCUGGGCUUAAGAGAUCCUCCCCUAUCUCAGCCUCCUCAGCAGCUGGGACAACAGGUGUGUGCCACCACACCAGGCUAAUUUUUUAUUUUUUGUAGAGAUAGGAUUUCACUAUGUUGCCUAGGCUGAAAUAUCUUGAAGCUUGACUAUGUUGUGAGGAAGCUUCAGACCAUUCCAUAUUUUAUAAAAACAUGAUAGAAAAACUAUCUUUAAAUACUCUUUUAUUCAUGCUGUAAGAAAACAGGCUAUAUUAUUUUUAAAGUCAAGUUUGUGAUUUUUAUUUUCAUGGAAAUUCAUUACAUGUCCUAUUUUUCUGCCUAUCCUUUCACAUUCCACAUAUUCCUAUUCUCUGUUAUAUAGUACAGAAUAGAGAAGAAUAGUGAGCCUGCUUAUUUUCACAUGGGCUAGUUAGUGAUUUCUGUAAUAUAAACUUACUGGUAUCUUUGGUAUCUUUCCUAACAAAUAAUUUUUAUAUUCUAAAUUACCUAGGGUAUUUUCCCUAAUUCUCCAUGGUGCUUCAAUAGCAUGUUAUUAUCAUAAAAAUGAACAGUUUUGUGGAAUAGAUGACCAAAUGUGAGUAACUCAAGAUAAUUUAAAAUGUAUUUAUAGUUUUAAAAAUAAUCUCCCAAAAAGUUAAUUAGAAUUGUGUAAUAUCUGAAUAGUGAGAACAGUUCAUAUUGGUAUACUUUGGAUAAUUCUUUGUCUUAUAAUUUUAUUAAUAUUGAAAGCUAUUUUCUGUCAUUUUAAGUGUAUUUCGUAACUAAAUACUACAUCUUUCUUUCCUCAGUGACUUAACUCACUAUUGUUUACAAUGUACAUAGUUUUCUUUGAUCUGAACAAACAUGUUGAAUUUGAAGCUUCUUUACCAUUGUUUAUUUACAGAUCUUUUUAAAGUAUGG